UACGAGGGGUGCGAGCGUUAUUCGGAAUUAUUGGGCGUACAGGGCGCGUAGACGGCCUGCUAAGUCAACUGUUAAAUUCCCUGGCCUAACUGGGGACCAGCAGUAGAUACUGGCGAGCUAGAGGAUGGAAGAGAGAAGUGGAAUUCUCGGAGUAGCGGUAAAAUGCGUAGAUCUCGAGAGGAACACCGAUGGCGAAGGCAGCUUCUUGGUCCAUAUCUGACGUUGAGGCGCGAAAGCGUGGGGAGCAAACAGGAUUAGAUACCCUGGUAGUCCACGCCGUAAACGAUGAUCACUAGACGUUAGUUCUCUUUAAGGGAAUUAGUGUCGUAGCUAACGCGUUAAGUGAUUCGCCUGGGGACUACGGUCGCAAGACUAAA
rnacentral:rRNA from 1 species